rnacentral:rRNA from 1 species
GGGUUAAGUCCCGCAACGAGCGCAACCCCUGCAUUCAGUUGCCAUCGGGUAAUGCCGGGCACUCUGGAAGGACUGCCAUCGACAAGAUGGAGGAAGGUGGGGAUGACGUCAAGUCAUCAUGGCCCUUAUGUCCAGGGCGACACACGUGCUACAAUGGCCGGCACAACGGGAAGCGAGUUCGCGAGGACGAGCGGAUCCCUCAAAGCCGGUCGCAGUUCGGAUUGAAGUCUGCAACUCGACUUCAUGAAGCUGGAAUCGCUAGUAAUCGUGGAUCAGCCAAGCCGCGGUGAAUACCGUUCCCGGCCUU